CCCAUGGACGAUGACAUUAGCUGCAGAAUAAGCACCGGCUAACUCUGUGCCAGCAGCCGCGGUAAUACAGAGGGUGCAAGCGUUAAUCGGAAUUACUGGGCGUAAAGCGAGCGUAGGUGGCUUGAUAAGUCAGAUGUGAAAGCCCCGGGCUUAACCUGGGAACGGCAUCUGAUACUGUUAGGCUAGAGUAGGUGAGAGGAAGGUAGAAUUCCAGGUGUAGCGGUGAAAUGCGUAGAGAUCUGGAGGAAUACCGAUGGCGAAGGCAGCCUUCUGGCAUCAUACUGACACUGAGGUUCGAAAGCGUGGGUAGCAAACAGGAUUAGAUACCCUGGUAGUCCACGCCGUAAACGAUGUCUACUAGUCGUUGGGUCCCUUGAGGACUUAGUGACGCAGCUAACGCAAUAAGUAGACCGCCUGGGGAGUACGGCCGCAAGGUUAAAACUCAAAUGAAUUGACGGGGGCCCGCACAAGCGGUGGAGCAUGUGGUUUAAUUCGAUGCAACGCGAAGAACCUUACCUGGUCUUGACAUAUCUAGAAUCCUGCAGAGAUGCGGGAGUGCCUUCGGGAAUUAGAAUACAGGUGCUGCAUGGCUGUCGUCAGCUCGUGUCGUGAGAUGUUGGGUUAAGUCCCGCAACGAGCGCAACCCUUGUCCUUAGUUACCAGCGGUUUGGCCGGGAACUCUAAGGAUACUGCCAGUGACAAACUGGAGGAAGGCGGGGACGACGUCAAGUCAUCAUGGCCCUUACGACCAGGGCUACACACGUGCUACAAUGGUAGGUACAGAGGGCAGCUACACAGCGAUGUGAUGCGAAUCUCAAAAAGCCUAUCGUAGUCCAGAUUGGAGUCUGCAACUCGACUCCAUGAAGUAGGAAUCGCUAGUAAUCGCGGAUCAGAAUGCCGCGGUGAAUACGUUCCCGGGCCUUGUACACACCGCCCGUCACACCAUGGGAGUUGAUUGCACCAGAAGUGGUUAGCCUAACCUUUUAGGAAGGCG
rnacentral:rRNA from 1 species